rnacentral:lncRNA from 1 species
AUAAUUAAGUGAUUCACACAUCACUAAUUUAAAGUACUAGACUAUUCUGAACUUGACCAUGUACUUACCAUUUCUAGCAUAUUUUAUAUUUGUGUAUGUUUUCUUUUUACUACUUAGAGUCCUUUCCUUUAAGUUUAAGGAACUCCUUUGAGGAUUUCUUGUAUAGCACAUCUAGUUGUGAUGAGUACCCGAAGCUUUUGUUUAUCAGGGAGACAAACUGUUUCCCCCUAAACAACAGUUGUUUCAAUACUUUGACUACAUCAUCCCACUCUCUCUUGGCCUGUAAUGUUUCUACUGAGAAAUAUGCUAAUAGACUUAUGGGAGUUCCAUUACCUGUGUGAAAUUUUUCCUUCUUGCUGCUUUUAAAAAUAUCUCAUUUUCUUUGGAUUCAGGCAAUUUUAUUAUAAUGUAUCUUUGAGAAAAUCAUGUUAAGUUGAAGUUUUUGGGUGAUCUAUUAUCUUCAUGAAUUGGACGUCUAAAUUUCCCUCCAGUUUUGGGAACCCCUCAGCCAUUAUUUCUUUAAAUAAACUUUCUAUCCCUUUCUCCCUCUCUUCUCCUCCUGGCACUCUUAUAAUACAUUACUGUUUCUUCUAAUAGUGUUGUGUAAUUCACAUAGGCUUUCUUUAUUCUUUUUUAAUUGAUUUUUAAUUUUUCUCCUCAGACUGGAUAAUUUCAAAUGACCUGUUUUCUAGCUCACUAAUUUUUUCUUCUGCUUGGUCAAGUCUGAUGUUGAAGCUCUCAUUGAAUUCUUCAUCAGUCAUUGUAGUCUUCAACUCUAGAAUGUCUGCUUGAUUUUUUAAUGGUUUCUAUUUCUUUGUUGAACUUCUCAUUUUGUUCAUGUAUUGUUUCUCUACUUUCAUUUAGUAGUCUAGCUCUAUUUUCUUGUAGUUCACUGAAGUUUUUUGAGAGGAUUAUUCUGAACUCUUUGUUGGAUAUUUCAUAGAUCUCCAUUUCUUUCAGGUCAGUCACUGGAAUUUUAUUAGUUUCCUUUGGUGGUGUCAUGUUUCCUUAGAUUGUUCGUCAUCCCUGUGGCCUUGCAUUGGUGUCUGUGCAUUUGAGUAUGUAGGAAACUCUUCUAAUCUUUACAGACUGGCUUUGACAGGGAAAGUCUUUCACUGUGCAACUUUUCCAAAUACUCUGGGUGCACAGUCUGGUGCUGUCCUUGGGCAGGCUUGCUGCUGGAGUCCUUUGGGUGGCCUGGUGUGGGGGUGGGUUAAAAGCUUGGAAUGGCAGUAGUCAG